rnacentral:rRNA from 1 species
ACUCUGAUAGGACUGCCGGUGACAAGCCGGAGGAAGGUGGGGAUGACGUCAAGUCAUCAUGGCUCUUACGAGUUGGGCUACACACGUGCUACAAUGGCAGCUACAGAGAGGAGCGAAGCUGUGAAGCGGAGCCAAUCUUAAAAAGCUGUCUCAGUUCGGAUUGUUCUCUGCAACUCGAGAACAUGAAGUUGGAAUCGCUAGUAAUCGCGGAUCAGCAUGCCGCGGUGAAUACGUUCCCGGGUCUUGUACACACCGCCCGUCACGCCAUGGGAGUUUGUUCUGCCUGACGGCGUUGAGCUAACCUGCUUGCAGGAGGCUGGCGACCACGGUAGGGUAAGCGACUGGGGCGAAGUCGUAACAAGGUAGCCGUAGGGGAACCUGCGGCUGGAUCACCUCCUUUCAAAG